rnacentral:rRNA from 1 species
AGCGAACGCUGGCGGCAGGCUUAACACAUGCAAGUCGAGCGGGCGCAGCAAUGCGUCAGCGGCAGACGGGUGAGUAACGCGUGGGAACGUACCUUUUGGUUCGGAACAACACAGGGAAACUUGUGCUAAUACCGGAUAAGCCCUUACGGGGAAAGAUUUAUCGCCGAAAGAUCGGCCCGCGUCUGAUUAGCUAGUUGGUAGGGUAAUGGCCUACCAAGGCGACGAUCGGUAGCUGGUCNGAGAGGAUGAUCAGCCACAUUGGGACUGAGACACGGCCCAAACUCCUACGGGAGGCAGCAGUGGGGAAUAUUGGACAAUGGGCGCAGCCUGAUCCAGCAAUGCCGCGUGAGUGAUGAAGGCCUUAGGGUUGUAAAG